AUGUGUUGGAUUUGUUGUACUUGCAUUAAGGGCUGCGCUCAACGGCCUUAUGAAUUUGUCUAGCUGCUCCGUAUAUCUGGGCCUUUGCAGGCGUUGCACGACAAGUGGUUCUCUAACCAGCUUUGUCGCUUCUGGGUUUGGAUGUGCAGCCAGAGAAUUUGCAAAUCGUUCGCUGGCCACGUGGAACGCGCCAUCACAGCUGCCGCUGCAAGCGAUUGAUUUGGAAAUUUAAGGUGAGCGCGCCCCACGUGUGUGGCCAGCGUUAAUUUGCGGUCAAGUGUGACUCCCAGAUCACGAAGCGUGUAUAUGACAUGCGCUGUCUUUGUCGCAUUGAUCUUGAAGCACCAUUUCUUAGACCAUUUUACGAAGUGGUGCAAGUACUGUUGGGUCUCGCUUAUCGCAUUGGCCGGAUGAUCAGCAGAGCACAUGAUGACUAUGUCAUCCGCAUAUGUUGACAACAGCAUCGACCUUUCAUUCGGCUGAAGAUGGCGACGAUUUUGCGUGAGUAGUGGCAGCGGCAUGUCAGAGGAGUAAAUUGUAUUCAAAAUUGGGCCCAAGACGCUGCCCUGUGGGAUACCAGCUGAUAUGCAGCCGACUCUGGAUGUUACUCCAUCAUUGCAUUUGACUGCAAAAGUGCGAUCAGACAGACCCUCAUGCCAUACUCUAUCGAACGCUUCCGAUAUGUCAAUGUAGAUGGCCGAGCAGUAUUGUCGUUCUUCGUAGGCCCUUAAUAUAUGCUGAGUAACUCUGGCCAACUGGUGCUCCGUGCCGUGCUCGCGACGAAAGCCAAAUUGGUGGCUGGGCACAGCAGUUGCAAAAUCCUUGUGCUCAAACAGGCGCUUGAGCAGGAGUUUCUCGAGGAGUUUUGCAAGGCCAGAUAUCAGGCUGAUUGGUCUGUAAGAUGCCACAUCUUCUGGAGAUUUACCUGGUUUGAGACACAUAGUGAUCUCGGCGUAUUUCCAACAUUUAGGGAAAUAACCUAUACGCAAAAUGGAAUUAUAUAUGAGUAUCAAAUAUAAUAGAGCCUUCUGCAGCAGUAAUUUUAUUAAUUUGUUCUCGAUUUUGUCGUAUCCAGGUGCUUUUGGCUGGCUGCAGUGCAUCAAUUUCCAUCUU